rnacentral:rRNA from 1 species
CAACCCUGAUCCAGCAAUGCCGCGUGAGUGAUGAAGGCCUUAGGGUUGUAAAGCUCUUUCACACGCGACGAUGAUGACGGUACCGUGAGAAGAAGCCCCGGCUAACUUCGUGCCAGCAGCCGCGGUAAUACGAAGGGGGCGAGCGUUGUUCGGAAUUACUGGGCGUAAAGGGCGCGUAGGCGGCCCGAUCAGUCAGAUGUGAAAGCCCCGGGCUCAACCUGGGAACUGCAUUUGAUACUGUCGGGCUUGAGUACCGGGAGAGGAUGAGCGGAAUUCCCAGUGUAGAGGUGAAAUUCGUAGAUAUUGGGAAGAACACCAGUGGCGAAGGCGGCUCACUGGACCGGAUCUGACGCUGAGGCGCGAAAGCGUGGGGAGCAAACAGGAUUAGAUACCCUGGUAGUCCACGCCGUAAACGAUGUGUGCUAGACGUUGG